AGAGCGAACGCUGGCGGCAGGCUUAACACAUGCAAGUCGAGCGGGCGUAGCAAUACGUCAGCGGCAGACGGGUGAGUAACGCGUGGGAACGUACCUUUUGGUUCGGAACAACACAGGGAAACUUGUGCUAAUACCGGAUAAGCCCUUACGGGGAAAGAUUUAUCGCCGAAAGAUCGGCCCGCGUCUGAUUAGCUAGUUGGUGAGGUAAUGGCUCACCAAGGCGACGAUCAGUAGCUGGUCUGAGAGGAUGAUCAGCCACAUUGGGACUGAGACACGGCCCAAACUCCUACGGGAGGCAGCAGUGGGGAAUAUUGGACAAUGGGCGCAAGCCUGAUCCAGCCAUGCCGCGUGAGUGAUGAAGGCCCUAGGGUUGUAAAGCUCUUUUGUGCGGGAAGAUAAUGACGGUACCGCAAGAAUAAGCCCCGGCUAACGUUCGCGCCAGCAGCCGC
rnacentral:rRNA from 1 species